ensembl:lncRNA
UUCCUGUAGUUGCUAGAAUUAAGAUAAUCUUGAGUUGACAGCAAAGUUAGAACAGAGUUUCUCCCCCACAGCCAGAGAUUCAAAAUGAUUGCAAGGCUUUUGAGUAUAAGCCGAGCUCUGGCUCUUCUGCAUGUUGCCGAUGCCCAAAGCAGAGAAAGCAGGAGUCAAAUCCAGCCUCAGCUCGUCCUGUGCCAGCAGCCACCCUCCAGAGGGACUUUUCCCUCAGCACUCUGUGCAUCCUGCAGCUUUUCCUGGCUGUAAAAGAGCCCUCACAGCCACCCAGCCCUGCUGUGCCAUGUGGGGAAAUCCAGCUUUCACAGACCACCGCUGCCAGCUCUCCCACUGCAGCUCUUUUUCAAAGCGAGGAACGUUUCCAAGAAUGUAGGAAUAACAAGUUCUUUGCCAACAGCUGUACAUGAAGGCAAAAGCAAGGUAUGUCCUCCACUACCUCAUCUACCAAUAUGUAUAUUCAUUUCUGUAGUGUACAGAUGUGUGUACAAUCUGCCUGCUGAGCUGAGGAACGCAGCAGCCAGCCCUGGAAAAGGGAUGGAAGGGAUUUGAGCAGAUAACCCUUGAGUGGAUGCCUGUGUGGUGUAAGGCAGCAUAGUUUUUAGCCUGUGCAGUAAGGUCAGUGUUAUCUGAUCAAGAAAUUCCUCUCCUCUUUUCCCCUUGGGCUAGCAAGUUCACUUCCAGUCUUUUAGCAAUGUACAUUUGCCCAGCAGCAAAAGUACAGAUUCUGCAGGUAUUUCCAUCAUCCCUAUCCCAGAGUAGCUAUGAAACAGAACAAAGUCACCAGUGCUGUGGCUCUGUCCUGAUGCUGAGCUUUGGUGGGUCACCUUGGGCAGGCUGCAGUGCCGGGUUCCCCAGCUCCUUUAGGCUCAGAGAUGGUGUUUUUGCACAAAAAGAUGCUCAAGAACCUUCCACAUCUCACUGCUCAUCCUGAUAAGCGUACAGAACCAAGCUGAAGCAGGUGGGGGUAUGACACAGAAGAUUAAUGGAUCUCUUCCAACCAAAGGUUGACAUUUCAGUCAAGCACUGCUAAUGUAGGAUGCUGAUCUGAGACCCCUCUUAGCCCAAUGACGAAGUCUUUUUUUAAGUCUUCUGUGUAAAAAGUGUAAUCGUCGUAUGCCAAUGGAUCAUAUCCUGGAGAUCCCUGGAGAGCAGGGCAAAUGCAGAAAGAAAGGAAAAGGAAAUCCCUUAUUUCAUAAUGGUGCAAACGGACGUGUCAGGAGAAUUACAUCAACAUGCAGCACGUGAAAUAUAAUACUCCUCCUAAUGCAUUUAGAUGAGGCAAAAUGCAAAGUCUAUACUGCCCCUGGGAAUAAUUCUGGUAGGAAGCUUUCACCACCAGGAACCAAGGACUUUCUACUUACUCUGGAAUGUGAGCUUUUUUUUUGCAAAGCCUUCCUUGAGAGACUUCAAAAUCAAGUUUGUGAAGUGUGCAUUCCCCUUUGAAGAUGCCUUCCAGAAUGAAACACCAGUGCUCUUCCCAGUAGAGCUUGUGUAAGUUGGGAUUAGCAUGCUUAGAAACUAGCAAGCCUUCAAAGACAAGAGAGGAGAUCCUGGUCCUUCACAUUGCAGAAAGCCAAGAUAUGCACACUCAUCCCUCACCCCCUACCUAGUAUUGCUAUAGGGGUGCAUCAGAGUUGUGUGAGUUUCUACAAGGGUAGAGGGUUAUAAACCCAAGCAGUAUUUCCACUGGAGACUUUGCAGCCAGGAGGAGCCUGAGAUCUUCCGGUUGUUUUACUUUCCCCCUAUCAGACGACACGGAUGAGAUUCACUAAACGAUAGAGCUCAGAUGUGGCUUGAAUUCAGACAAGUGACUUGAAGUGAUGAUUUCCCCACCACCACGCUGCAGAUGAUUGAUGUAUUAUGCAUGAAAAUAGUGCCAGGCACAGAUGGGAUGGGAGUAGAAGGUGUGAGCUGAAAAUGACAGCAGCCAAGCUCUGCUAGAAAAUGCUCUACAACAUGCUUGCAGACUCGGCAGAAAAAAAGGAUGCAGUGUGCAUGAGACUCACCGUGGUUUAAAGGCCAAACAGUUCAAAUACCGUCAAAACUGAGGUUUAUCAAGGAUUUGAGUGGCAUGGUUGCCAGAGGGAGCAGGGGAUUAGCCUUGAGGAUUUGAGGAAGUGUCUUUCUAUCCAGUAUUCUUGAAUAGCCACAUGAAGAUGAGAGCACCAUCAUCACUGUUUCUCUGAGGACAGGGAAUCCAACAUGGUGACACGGUGCUGCAUUGGACAUUGCCUCCAGCAGGAUCCUGGCUCAUACCCAGUGCAGCACUAAGAACCUGGCACCAGACCCAAAGCUGAAACAAACCGGGAUUUCUCCAUGGACAGACAUGACAGCCUGGCCCUCGUAAAAUGUUGACCUUGAAUUGACAAUGCACUGACAGUGUCCCUAAAUCACAUUGUCACUGCCUUUAGGAGGACCUAAAGGGCUUCAGCAGAGCCAGCUUCACUACAGCUUUAAAACCAGCCCAACUCCCCCCAAACCUGUAAGUUCUCCUUCAUUCCCACUCAAGGUAACUCCAAAGUUAGAUUUUGUGCUGCAGCAGUCAGGAUCCAGGCCCAGCUGAAGCUGCACAGUUUGUCUCAUGCAUUUUCAAGGAGCUCCACAGCAAUUUUACAGAUCAAAGCAAAUCAAUAAUAUCAGAGCCCUUCCACCAUACUGCUUUCACUAAAUUACUGCAUCCCUUAAAAAAAGAAAUUGUAGCAGCACAAUGCCAGACAGACUGUCACUACCAAAUUAUGUUUAUUUAUUCUCUCCCUGGCUCUUGGCUGGCCCCAUUACCAGCAUAUCUCAGUGUCUCUCAGCCAUCAGCAUAUUUGCCUCCCUCCCUCCCUCCCCCUACCCACGGUACGUGUCUCCUCUCAAGUACAAAGCGGACUGACACGGCAAGUUUUUGAGCCUAUUUAACACCAGCUUUAUCUGAAGAGAACUAGAUCCAGUGACAGAACCUCAGAAUUAAUUACAUGAAGGUGAAUUCCUGUCACAGAGCCCGGCACAGUGUCACACAAACACUUUAACAGCCAGCCUCUGGCCCUGGGCUGCCUUUGUGCACUGUAAAGCAAUUAUUUGUACCUGCUUGCAAGGGUUGGUGCCAUUGGUGAGCAGGGCAAAGAAAAGAGUGCAUGGUUCAGGUGGAAAUCUGCACAACAAAUUUGCCCAGAGAUGAGCAGGACUAUCCCAUGAGGUUCAGAGGAGAUGAUCACAUGAGAGCAGAGAGUGCAAACCAGCAAAGCUGCAUUUCAACAUGAAGCAAGGAAAAGAAACUGUGUCCAUUCCUGCUAUGGCUUACCACAAUUCAGCUGCAAUGUGCAGUGUUCCUUCAUCUUAAGAUCAUGGAAUCAGUUGAGUUGGAAGGGACCUUUAAAGGCCAUCUGGUCCAACUCCCCUGCACUGAACAGAAACACCCACAGCUCCAUCAGGUGCUCAGAGCCCAUCCAGCCUCACCUUGAGUGUCUCCAAGGAUGGGGCACCCACCACCUCUCUGGUCUUCCUCAACAGCUACCAGACCUUGGGCAAGGAAAGAGGGACAGAGGUUGAAUACCGUGGAGAGUGAAGAGAGCUGAGGGACAUGACACUAAGAGACAUGGUUUAAUGAUGGGACUCUGUAGGCUGAUGUUUGGACUUGGUGACCUCAAAGGUCUCUUCCAAUCAAGAUGAUUCAAUGAUUCUAAUGAGUACCAGAGCAUUCAACAAGCAGUGUUGGAGACAUAUUUGCAUUUCCUGGAGGAAAAGAGCUUCCUUCAGGUCCUAACUUCUCCCUCCACUGGGGCAGCUGGGGCUGUAAGGCUCUUUAAAGAAAUUCUAGAGCCAGAUCAGAUUAACCCACAGAUUAAUCCAUCUUUGGGACUCAGGCAGAGCUCCUGGACCUCCCUGAAUGGACUGCCAGCUGUGAAAGACCUCAGGGUCACCAGAAGUGCUGAAGAGACCAAGCUAUUCUCUUGCAGAAAGACCCAUAGGCUGGCAUGUAGAGGCUGAGCUAUUGGCCAGAGGAGGCCAGGGGAACCCCGAGGAGGAAGUUUUCCAGUGCAUUGGCA